AAUAAAGGGCUCCGACGCCUGUUGGUCAGGAUAUUUGUCCCAAUAAAAGAGGCCCACAGAAGUCAUUCCGCAAGUAUAUUGCAGAAGCCCAAGGAGCCGGACGUGUGAACAAGAAGAAAGGUUGUUGUAUAUACUCACUCCGCCUAGCUCAAGCUUUGUUAAGGCGUUUUAAGUCAUCAUUCUCAUCAACUAAGUACUCAGGUA